CAUCUUUCCAAACUGAAAAAAAUUAGAAUAUUAAAAGUUAAGAAAUACCUUACCAGAAGGAGCAUCAAUGAGGUAUCGAUACAAAAGAGGAAGUUCUAAUUGGAAUUGUCUUUCAAAUGUUGAAGGUGCAAUCACAACAAAUCAAUGAUUGAAUGACCAAUUUCAGCUGCAGCUUUCUAAACUAUAUAGGCAAUCAUCAACUAUAACAUUGUAUAUUCAAUUAAAUCAGAACCUGAAACGGAAUAUUAUGAAAAUCGAGUGGAUAAAUUGAGCUAGGGUUUUGGGAUAAGGAAAUACAUGAGAGAUGAAGGAUCGAAAGGAAGAUUGCGUGUUAGGGUUAGAGAUAGGAUUGAGCGAGCCUGCAGAUAAAUUGUUAGAUGAAAAACAAUUUGGGAAAUAGAACGAAACCUCCACGAAACGGUGCUGGUGAGGUGAGAGAUGUGAUGGUUGGCAUUCUGGGUUGGUUACAGAGUCGUGAAGGACAAGAAGAACAGAGGGAAGAAGGUCGGAUGAAAAAUAUAAGCAGCAAAAAGGGAAAAUAUACAAAAAGGGAAUAU
rnacentral:lncRNA from 1 species